CAGUACGUUUGGUUGGAGGGAAUGGCUAUUCCAUUCCCUCCUUAUUCUGUGAUGACUGGUAAUGCUUUUGUUUGGUUCACCGUUUCUUCAUUCGGCCGUAUUACUUAAAGCGUUUCUAUUCCCUCAAACGCCUAAUAGGGAUUCAGCGUUGAAAGCUUGGAAUGGCUAUUCAGACCAUCGCUGAAUAGAAAUAAAGAAAAUUCUUCCCAAAAUCUCCUUCAGACUUUCUCUGCAAAUGCGUUCAAAAUUGCUUCUUUUAUUACAACAAUACACUUUCAGUAUUUCAGAUUUGGAGAUAUGGUGCAACAGACGAAACUUUAUUAAGAAAUAUACAUUAUAGUGCUUUGGAGCAGACACAAAUUGAAGUCCAGACACUAGAGGGUCAAAUGGAACCAGAAGUUCUGCUAGCAGGCAGUAUAGAUGGCUCCUUCAGGAUAUUUUUCUCCGGCAUGAAUCAGUGCAGUGCUUUGUUGGCAUCAUUAAGUCAAUGGGAGCUUGGAUGGAUCAAGAGCUGAAGAUAGGUGAUUCUGACUUGUCUAGAAACUUCGAGAGUGACACUUCAUCAGAGAGACCUUCAACCUCAAUUGUAGAAAAUAGAGUUGUCCCUGAUUGUGAGCUGCAUCCAGAAAUGAAUUUUGAAUUGUCAGAUACUGCUACGCUUGAGCAACGCCUGGCUUACAAGAUUGAACUCCAAAAAGGUGGCUCAUUAUUUAACAGGAAUCCUUCCAAAGGCAUCGAGUUUCUUAUAGAUACAUGCAGAUGAGAGUUUUAUUGCCUGAUAGACCAGGCUUUCCUUCAGCCAAGUUAAAUAGUUUCAUGACUAUUUCAUUCUUGAGAUAUUCCAAUGGAAGCACAAAGUGUUUCUGAUCUAUACUGUAUACAACAAAAUCGCCCUGCUCAACUGUUGUUGACGUGUUGCAACUGUUUGCGCCAGUAUCUGAGGUGGCACUUGAUGGUUAAUAGGAAAGAACUCCGAGAUGAAAGGAAAAAGAGGGAAGAUUUAGGCUUGAAACUCUUCUGGAUAUAAAGCAAUGGAAAUUUGAUGAAUAUAUAACUAGAAGGUGAGAGACAGUCCCUUUAAUGAAUAGUACAAUGCCGGUAUUCAUUGGAAACAAAGACGUGGUAGGUAGAUAUCUAUAGUCUGCAAGGUGACCAUGUUUGCUUUUAUUGGAUGAUUAACCCCCAGCAAAGUUGAUCAUAUAUAGAAGUUCAUAUAUACAUCUUUAUGUAAUUUCCAAGUGGUUUAACAACAAUAAGGUCCAGUAAUGAAAGUGGUCAGAUGAUCCACAUGUUCUGGAUUGAUGAGUUUUUAUAAUUUCUGAAACAAAUUUUGCCCCUAAAAGAUUGUUUAUCUCUAGGCUGUUAUGCUUUUAAAUUGUCUUUUGUCUAAAUUUACUUCGCAUUUAUCUGUCUGUUAAUUGCUUUAAGAGAUUAUGGGGUCAAAUAUAUGCUUAAAUCUAUUUGAGCUGCCUUUACCUGAUAACUAUUAUAACUAGAUAGACAUAAAAAAUAUAUGGUAAAAAGAACUCUUCAAUUCCUCUCAAUUUCGAAUUGAGCAAAUUGGUCCUUCUAAGAAAAUCAAAGUAAUUUAUUUCCUAUCAAUUUCGAAGGUUAGAAAUUAAGAAUAAUUAAUCAUAGAGUUAAUGUUUUCAUGGAUUAUACAUGAUUUUGAUUGGUUUAAUAACAAAUUUAGCCCUUAUUGUUUAUACAUUUUAUCAAUUGAGUCAUAAUUUAAUAAAUUUAUCUUGUAACAUUUGUGUAAAUUUUGAGGUUGAAUUUAUUGAAUUUUCCUGAUAUUGGCUAUGAACUGAGCUUGCAUGCUUUCUCACAACCAUCUUCUUCUAAGCCAGGUAAAUUCCUUGAAGAUUUAGUUGAGCCUUUUGUUAAUACAGCUCAAUGUUUGCAGGCAAACAUGGAGAACCACUUUCAGAACAUAGUAAUUCAAAUCAAUCAACGUACGGCAAUCAACGUACGAUUUUAGUGUAGCAGAUUAGAAACUCAAGAAUUUACCAAGAGGUGGUCGCUCUCAAGGAAUUAACACUGAUUUUCUGAAUAAUAACACAAUAUGCAUACUUAUGUAGCUUUUUGAUGGUAUAAUGACAUGAUAGAAUAUGAUUACAAUGUUGUAACUUUUUAAUGUUGUAAAAUUUUAUAACAUAUUAAUUAUGACAUAUAAACUAAUGAUAUUUUAUAACAUAUUAAUUAUGA